CUUUUGGAUUUAUCAGUUCAUAGGAAUUCAUGGUCCCCUGUUGUCACCUAAGAACCAAGUAAGGGAGGGAUCUGUCAUGAAAGCUAAGACAGGCUCUCAAGUGAACCUUAUAUUUGUUGAACAUUUAUCUCCAACCCUGCCCCUCUCCACCACAGCCCUGGCUCUCCAAUCACAGCCCUGGCUCUCCCACCACAGCCCGGGAUCACCCAUCACAGCCCGGGAUCACCCACCACAGCCCGGGAUCACCCACCACAGCCCGGGAUCACCCACCACAG